UGCCUGGGAGUGAUGCACCAGGUUGCCCCCCAGGACUGGGGCGGGGGAAGGAAGGAGAAAGAGGGGUCAGAGAAGAAGAGGGAAGGAGCCUUACAGUAGACAGUGAGGGUGCUGGGGGUCGACUGGCCCAUGCCCAGCCGGUUGAUGGCCUGGCACCGAUAGGCUCCUGAGUGCUGGACCUUCACGGGAUCCAAUCUCAGCAUCUGAUCGUAAUGCUGGAGGUUUUGGUUUUUCCAGUCAAACCAGCUAUACUGGAAGAUGGGAGGGUUGGCGUCACCCUCACAUGUCAGGACUGCCUUCUUCCCCUCCAUCACUUGGUCCUUUGGGCCGAUGGACACACGCAGCCUCCUCGGUGCAUCUAUAAGGAGAAGCGAAAUCAGGAUCCAGGUAGCCGGCCACCUGCUCUUCUGUCUGUCGCCAGCUCCAGCCACUCACACAGCACUUGGAGGAUCCUGGCCUCAGACAUGGUCUGUCCUACGGAGUUGUUGACCAAGCAGUUGUAAUUGCCAGCAUCUUCUGGAGAGAUGGCGUCAAAGGUCAGUUCUCUUCCCUCCUUCAGAAAGAUUCCAUUUUUCUUCCAGAAGAAGCGGACGUCUCUGGGGCGGCUACUUGAGAAGUUACAUCCAAGGAGGACUCGGUGCCCGGAAUGAAUGUCAGAAGGGGGGCUGAUCUGCUGGACCCUGACAUCUCUUGGGGCAUCUGGAGAGCAAGGGCCUCAAGGGUCAGGCUGACCUCUUGGGCCCCUUUCCCUCUUCUUGUCCCCAGGACUUCCUCUCCCCUGGGCCCCGAGGCCAGACGUUCAGCCCUCAGUUCUCUGUGAAGGUUCUGGCCCAGGCCCCAGUCCCCUCCCCCUUAGAGCCCAUACCCCAGCUGGCCCACCUCUCCGAUCCCCUUGCCCGCUCACUCACACAGGACAUCCAGGCUGACAGAGGGAGCCCACGAACACCACUGGUUGCAGGCUGCACAGGAGAUUGGUCUGGCGUCCCAGGAAACUUUCUCAAUUAUCAGCACCUCGCGUAAUGGUUUUUUCCAGGAGCCUUGGAAGUUCCAUUCGUAUCGGCUGGUGAGGGGAGGAUCUCAACCCUGGAAGAUUCCGGAGCAUCUGGAAAAAGCCCGCAGAGGCAGAGGAGGGAGCUCCCAGGAGGCUCACAAUAUACUUGAAGGUCCACUUCUUCCGACUGUCCUGAGCCUAUUUCAUUGGAGGCCUCACACUGGUACUUCCCACUCAUCUCCUUGGUCACAGUGGACAGAGUCAGCGUGCCUGGCACCCUUGGUGCCCUCGAGGGCCGGAAGAGAAGAGACAAGACCCUCGUCCUUCCCCGGGGGGCCCUGGGGGACACUCACGCUUCACAUCCAGCCCCACGCUUUCCUCGGAGAGUAUCCGCUCUGCUCGGGGGUCCCAGAGCUGGCAGGAAAGAUUCUUGCCGUGGUGAGUCCACUGCGGCUGGAAGGUGAGCUUGCUCUGUGUGGACACGGUCUUGGUGGUCAGGAGGGUGGAGGUGACAGCAGGCUCCUCCAGGGACCACUUCAGCUGGAUCUGGUACCCAGGACAGGAGAAAUUCAGCGAGCAGGUCAGAGUGACUUCCUGGGACUCCUGGAUUUCUGGAGGGAGCUGGAUGUGAGGUGAGAGAGGCGUCUCUGCAAAAGAGUAGGGGGCCGUGCUGGGGGUCUGGGAGAGCAAGGGCCCGUGUGCCAACCUCGCACACCUGCCUUUACAGCCCCAGGUAACCCCUCAGGAGCCCCUCGCCGGUCCCUUCCGCCUCUGCACCUCUCUCCUGGCCGCCUUUCUCUGCUUUGAAUCACUUUUGCUCGGCAGAAACACUCUCUCUUGUGAAUGCCGCCGCUCCUGAGGAAUCCCGUAUUGUAUUUCAUACGUAUCUCGUGCCCCCUCCCUGAUGUUUGCUCUCUAAACAUUUUUGACAUGGCUCCCCCAUCCCAAAUGAAUGUUACCAGUUUAGGUCCCCACGCCUUUCUUGGCUUUGCCGACAAGCCUGCGUUUGUAAUGGCCUCCACACUGGAGACCUCCAGAGUGGCGCUCCUUCAGUGGGUGCCGUUAGUGGGCCUGUGUGUCUCCAGCUCUCCCCGGGGCUGGGCCACCCUGAGGUGACAGGUCUGAAACCACAGCUCUCACCCCCAUGUAGCUGCUUAGACCCCCCCCCCCCCCCGCCACCUUCCCCACCACCACGGAAGACACAGGCUGUGGGGUGGAGGCCCCGGGCCCGUGCUUGAUUCAUCCCCUACAUGUGUCUCAUUUAGCCACGAAGGCCUAAUUAGAAUUAAUCACCAACAUUAAGGCAUUGGGAGAUUUUGCUUGAAAAUCCACAUUUCCAUCUUCUCGUCAAAAAUCAGGCCACCUGGAACCCAGAUUCCGGAAUGGGCGGGCAUUGAGUGGCAGGUGGGAGGCCCGAGGGGAGACCAGAGCUCUGGCCCCAACCCCAACCCCAGCCCCAUUAUCUUGUGCUGCCCGCUCACUCACUGGCACCUCCGGCCUGGCUUGCCACCCCGUCCCAGGGGCUGGGUGUUUUCCACCUCCCUUCUUGCCCGAAACCGAGGCAGAGAACCCCAUCCCCCAGGGCCUUACCAGAGACGUUGAGGUCUAUUUUCUCCAUCCAUUUGUCAUUCUUCGUUGUCACUCUCAGCCCAAGCCAGCCACUGUCAUUGACGGACACAGGGUGGAUGUGUAUGGUGCA